UUACCAACCAAUAACCAUACAGAGCAAAGGUGUUUUUCAGGUUGAUGAAGUCUCUGUAGUCAUCAUCGUUCAGCAUUCACAACCAUCCUGAAGAAAGAGAGAAAUGGAAGAGGACUUCUGGAUAUUGCAACAAAACGAAUUUUUACUCUACAGUUACAAUGGCACAAAUGAGUGCACACAGAGCAUCCUCGCAAAGCGACAAGACACCAGCCUACUAAGGGAAUAAAAGAAAAAGCUGGCAGUGCAGUCUAGAAGAAUUUUCCAGACUAUAAGGUCCUCGUGGUGGCGUUGUGACUCGCCUCAAUCCAGGUGGUGGAGGAAGAAUCUCAGUUGCCUCUACAUCUGAGACCGUCAAUCCGUGCAUCUUAUCACGUGGCUUGUUGAGCGUCCACGCACAACUCACCACGUGCCCCAGCAAGAGCGAGAACCACAUUAUAGCGACCACGAGGAGGUUACCCCAUGUGACUCUACCCUCCCUAGAAUCCGGGUCAAUUUGGUUGCUUAGGAGACCUGGCUGGAAUCACUCAGCACACCCUGGAUUUUGACUUGCGACUCCAGGGGUGGUAGUCAGCGUCUUUACUCGCUGAGCUACCCAGGCCCCCUCUAAAGUUUUUUUUAUCAUUCCAAGACCGGAAUGACAAUAUUUUGAAUUACUGACUGCUUGCUGCUUCUCUGCCUUGUCACGCAGUCUUAAGUGUCAGUGUGUGUGCACACAGCGAAUGUGACCGGGAUAGAUAGUGUUAUAACCAAGUAAGCAUGUCACGUCAAUCUGUGAGAAUUAUUUCAGCAUUUAUGUAUUGUUUUGGGGCUCGUUUUAAACAGGUUCAUCUGCUGUAACGAUAUGCAAUCUUCCAUAUACUGUUUGUAACAAGUAGUAAGCGAAAACAUGACAAAAACAUAUAUGAAUGUCACUAUGGGGAAAUCAUUGCAGUGUUUUCACUUAUUACUAAAUUAAACCUAAACAGAAUAUGGAAAAUGGCAUAUUGUUACUUACAGCAGAUGAUUCCAAAUAAAACGAGUCCAAACACAAUUUAACACGGUGCAUAGAUUCAUAAUCUGCAUGGAAGAUUUAUGCAAGUUUCAUUUUAUUAGUUUCUCAUUCACAGUUCUGGUUUAUGUUACAUCCGUCAAACCUUAAAGGACAGCGAUUAAGAGUUGGUCAGAUUGUUCCAAGCUUUUGAACGACAACGUUUUUUUUUCAAGUGAGCAGUUUUACUUAUUUAACUGAUAGCUCCAGUUUAAAGGGUUAAAACGUUGUGGAUAAUUGCUCCUCUGAGUUUUGUAGUAGGUUUUGUAGAGGGUUCACAUCAAACAUAUUUCUGACUAAAAUUCUUCAUACACAGAGAAGGUGAAAGGACAUGAAAAUGUGUAAGACCCAAGACUGUUCUUGCAUCCGAGUUCCUGUGCUUUCCUCUCAAUUAGUGCCUUCAUCUGUCUUUCCAUCCCUCUGUCUCCU